CUCCGCCGUGCUCUUGUCUUAUGAGCUCCUUCCGCGCCGCUCUCAUCGCUGCUUCUUCUCUCGUCGCCAGAGGUUUGUCAUCAUCUCUUCUCGUCGCCGUUAGUUCAGGAAAUAAUUAGAGGCAUUCCCAAUCAUUUGAAGAUUGUUGACCUUUCAGCAAAAGAAGCUAUAUAUGGAUUAACAGAGAUUUUAAGGGAGGAAAUAAGGAAUGCACGCUUAGUUGCUAAUCCUGGUUGCUAUCCAACAUCCAUUCAAAUUCCCCUUGUCCCACUGAUAAAGGUUUGUAACUGAAUAUGCUUAUUUCACAAUAGGUUUAAUAUAUAACUAAUUUCUGUUUCACUGUUUUUGUCACUUUUAUGGUUGUAUCUGUUUUCCUUUCUUUGUAUUUUGAGUUGUGAGAUAUGGUCUAGGGUGUUAAGCUUGGGUUACUUUCCAUGUUAAGAAGCUUGUCUGUUAAUCAUCGCUCCAAAGAUAUUUAUGUAUAUGGUAUCCUAGGUAUGUUACUUUCUUAAGAGAUGUCCUAUUCUACUAUUUUAAUUCUA